UACGUAGGGGGCAAGCGUUGUCCGGAAUCAUUGGGCGUAAAGAGCGCGUAGGCGGCUUUACAGGUCCGUUGUGAAAACUCGAGGCUCAACCUCGAGACGCCGGUGGAAACCGUAAAGCUAGAGUCCGGAAGAGGAGAGUGGAAUUCCUGGUGUGAGCGGUGAAAUGCGUAGAUAUCGCUUGGAACGCCAAAGGUGAAAACAGGUUGCUGGGGGUUGUGCCGACGCUGAGACACGAAAGCCAGGGGAGCGAAACGGG
rnacentral:rRNA from 1 species